rnacentral:siRNA from 1 species
CCUACCGAUUGAAUGAUC